rnacentral:rRNA from 1 species
UGGGGAAUUGUUCGCAAUGGGCGCAAGCCUGACGACGCAACGCCGCGUGGAGGAUGAAGGUCUUCGGAUCGUAAACUCCUGUUGCCCGGGACGAAUAGCUUCGACCUAACACGUCGGAGUAUGACGGUACCGGGUGAGGAAGCCCCGGCUAACUCUGUGCCAGCAGCCGCGGUAAUACAGAGGGGGCAAGCGUUGUUCGGAAUUACUGGGCGUAAAGGGCGCGUAGGCGGCCUGUUAAGUCGAACGUGAAAUCCCUGGGCUCAACCCAGGAACUGCGUCCGAUACUGGCUGGCUUGAAUCCGGGANAGGGAUGCGGAAUUCCAGGUGUAGCGGUGAAAUGCGUAGAUAUCUGGAGGAACACCGGUGGCGAAGGCGGCAUCCUGGACCGGUAUUGACGCUGAGGCGCGAAAGCCAGGGGAGCAAACGGGAUUAGAUACCCGUGUAGUCCCUGAGCGGGCUGGCAAGGCGCAU